GAUGAACGCUGGCGGCGUGCCUAAUACAUGCAAGUAGAACGCUGAAGGAAGGAGCUUGCUCUUUCCGGAUGAGUUGCGAACGGGUGAGUAACGCGUAGGUAACCUGCCUGGUAGCGGGGGAUAACUAUUGGAAACGAUAGCUAAUACCGCAUAACAGUAGAUGUUGCAUGAUAUCUACUUAAAAGGUGCAAUUGCACCACUACCAGAUGGACCUGCGUUGUAUUAGCUAGUUGGUGAGGUAACGGCUCACCAAGGCGACGAUACAUAGCCGACCUGAGAGGGUGAUCGGCCACACUGGGACUGAGACACGGCCCAGACUCCUACGGGAGGCAGCAGUAGGGAAUCUUCGGCAAUAGACGGAAGUCUGACCGAGCAACGCCGCGUGAGUGAAGAAGGGUUUCGGAUCGUAAAGCUCGGUUGUAAGAGAAGAACGAGUGUGAGAGUGGAAAGUUCACACUGUGACGGUAGCUUACCAGAAAGGGACGGCUAACUACGUG
rnacentral:rRNA from 1 species